UACGUAGGGUCCGAGCGUUGUCCGGAAUUAUUGGGCGUAAAGGGCUCGUAGGCGGUUCGUCACGUCGGGAGUGAAAACCCGGGGCUCAACCCCGGGCCUGCAUUCGAUACGGGCAGACUAGAGUUCGGUAGGGGAGACUGGAAUUCCUGGUGUAGCGGUGAAAUGCGCAGAUAUCAGGAGGAACACCGGUGGCGAAGGCGGGUCUCUGGGCCGUAACUGACGCUGAGGAGCGAAAGCGUGGGGAGCAAACAGG
rnacentral:rRNA from 1 species